rnacentral:rRNA from 1 species
AGCGGCGAACGGGUGAGUAACACGUGGGUGAUCUGCCCUGUACUUCGGGAUAAGCCUGGGAAACUGGGUCUAAUACCGGAUAUGACCUUACAUCGCAUGGUGUUUGGUGGAAAGAUUUAUCGGUACAGGAUGGGCCCGCGGCCUAUCAGCUUGUUGGUGGGGUAAUGGCCUACCAAGGCGACGACGGGUAGCCGGCCUGAGAGGGCGACCGGCCACACUGGGACUGAGACACGGCCCAGACUCCUACGGGAGGCAGCAGUGGGGAAUAUUGCACAAUGGGCGAAAGCCUGAUGCAGCGACGCCGCGUGAGGGAUGACGGCCUUCGGGUUGUAAACCUCUUUCGACAGGGACGAAGCGCAAGUGACGGUACCUGUAGAAGAAGCACCGGCCAACUACGUGCCAGAGC